ACUUGAAUUGAAUUGAGACAGAGUAUAGAGAGAGAGAGUAUAGAGAGAGAGAGUAUAGAGAGAGAGACUAUAGAGAGAGAGAGUAUAGAGAGAGAGACUAUAGAGAGAGAGAGUAUAGAGAGAGAGUAUAGAGAGUAGAGAGAGUAUAGAGAGAGAGUAUAGAGAGAGAGAGUAUAGAGAGAGAGUAUAGAGAGAGAGUAUAGAGAGUAGAGAGAAUAUAGAGAGAGAGAGUAUAGAGAGAGAGAAUAUAGAGAGAGAG
ensembl:lncRNA